AUGGCUCCACGACUAAGUCCUAGCUCGAGGACAUCUGCCGUGACAAUUCCACGACAGUUGGCGCCCACCGUGGGGCCAGCGCACGGUGGAUUUGAGUUCUUGAAGGGCAGCUUUGAAGGGCUCAAGGGAUACGCUGUGGGCCGGAUGACCAAGAGUCGUCGCGGCAAGCUCUACAUCGACGAUGCAAACUGGGGCCCCGACGCCGGCUCAAUUGAGUACGGGUACCGGGUCCCCUUUGGCGGAAUUCAUGUCUUCAUUGGCAAGAUUGGUGAGCCGGGCCCUGAGCCAGAUCUCUGCGCCGAUCUCAUCGAGACGGCUCAGCGUACACGACCCACCCGGGCUCUACCAGCCUUGAAGCAUGCUUUUGUGGGAUGUGUUCAUGGAGGACUCUCUGAAGGGUCUGGAUCUGGCGAUGAGACGGCUGCCGGCUCUGACGGCGAGUCGUCUACGGAUGAGUCAAAUUCGUUGUAUCAACUUCAGGAUGGCAGGCUCAGGGGUUGUUCCGAUGGCGACAGCAUUCCGGACCCUUUUGAACCGCCGAGCCGGGUUGGAAUCUUCAUGGCCGGCGCGCAACCUGUUCAAAACCCCGCCUCCGGGUCAGGAAGCCCGGUGCCUUCACCGGCUCAGGUGCUGAUGGAUCUCACAGACAAGCUGACGGUCCUGUUGACCACUACGGUGGCUCCGGCGGAUCAAGUUCAGCAUGACGCGGAGGUGGCACAGUUAAAGUUGGAUCUAGCAAAGGCCAAGGAGGAUCUGGCGGCGGAGGGGGUCAGGAUGGCUGCAGAGAGGGCGGCUCUCGACGCCCAGACUCAGCUGAUUCAGGCACAGUCCUUCCGGCUCACGAUGGAUCAAAACGCAUCCAAUGAGGUCAUGAGAAGGAGGCAUCAAAAGGCCCAAUCUCGACUCCCUCCGGUUUACGAUCCUCGAAAUCUCUUCAACACGCCGGGUGCAGGGUCUAGUAACCCGCCAAAGAUCAUAGUGCCCGGGGCUGGGACACCUAUUCAGCCCCAAGUGAUGGGGCCUCCCCGGGUGAACCCUGCCCCGCCUCAGUACGUGCCAAUACCACCGGGUCAUUAUGCCAACCCGCUGGAAAACAUGGUCGCCGCGGCGGCACGGCUGGCGGCUCUCCCAAUUGAUGGCGACUCUCCAACGGCUGUUGAAACCCGCCGGGUCAGAGAACUCCUUCAGACAGCUCUGGCGCAGCAAGAGGCAUACUCUUAUAGCCGGGAUAGGGUCCAUUCAACCCCUCGUCCAGGCCGGAGCCCGAGUUAUAGCAGACACAUGGUCUCAGCGACCGGCUCAAGUAAUGUCCGACGCCGUGACUUGCCACCUGGCCACGGCCCGGCUCAUAACGGGGCCUUUCACGCAGCAGACCAAGACAGAGCACGGCAAGAGGCGGAGCAGGUGCCUCAGUUGACGGCUUACCAGACACCCCCGGCUUAUCCGACGGCUUCCGUCGACGUGGGUAUCCCUACAAGGACUGGCGGUGUCCCUUGUUUAGUGCCGGCUCUCCGCAAUGAACGUCUACCCAAGGACUUCAAAGGGCCUAGGAAGGUGCCUAAUUACACGGCUGAUUUACAACCCGGAGCCUGGAUCGAGAGUUACGAGAUGGCCAUGGAAUUGUUGGAGGUCAGCGAAGCGGCGAUGGCCAAGUACUUCACCAUGAUGUUAGAUGGGACUGCCCGCACUUGGUUGAAAGGGCUGCCACCAAAUUCUAUUGGGUCUUGGGCUGAGCUAAAAGCCCGGUUCAUCCAAAACUUCAAAGAUACCUAUAGGUAG
rnacentral:rRNA from 1 species